UGCAAAUCAAUCCCAGAACAACAGCAAAGGACCUUGUGAAGAUGCUGGAGGAAACAGGAGCGUGUGGUAGGUCUCCAUUUGAUGGGGCCCAGUGCAGGGGAGGUGAUCCAGGGCUUUGCUGUGGCUCUGAGGUGUGGUCUGAUCAAACAGCAGCUGGACACCACUGUAGGACACCACUGUGGGACUCCACUCUGUUUGUGCCCAGGUGUUGACCAAACUGACAGUAACUCAGUGUGCCACUGACACCAUGAUGGUCAGAGGGAACUGCUGAGGUUAGCCCCCUUCUGUCAAUCACUGUUGUCCAAGGCAACGGUACAGAUAGCAGGGAGAAGCCAGUCAGAACAUCCUCAUUGUUGUGUGACGGGCAGCUAUCAGCCGUCUAAUGACCUCUGAGUCCGGAGCCUGAUUGACAGGUGGGCGGGGACUGACACUGUUGCUGCUGGCCCUAGACACUGGGGUCACUUCCUGUUUCCAUGUUUUUUUCUUCUCUUUUAAACUCUUUCUUUUGCCAUAUUAAUGAACCAAACUUUGAUAUUAACCUGUGAGGGCACCUCUGACACUUUUCAACUGUGAACUCUGCAGUCCUUAUGAAUACUCAUUAGUCUGUGACUGUACUGACAGUUUAAUGGCUGCUGAGUAGCGAUAAAGCCCUGAUUGAGCAUUUAAAUACUGUAGAAACACAGUUCAUGCUUUUAUGCAGGGUUCUGUAGCUACGGGCUGAAGGGAUUUAAGUGCCAUAAUGUAAUGUAAUGAACAGAUCGAGAUUAAACUAUUAUCAGAAUGAAGAAAUAUUCAUUAAUAAAAUGCUCUUACUUUUAAUUAAAGGAAGUGGUUCAUAUGGGAUACAUUAACCUAAGACUACAAUCUCUCUGUCUUUUUCUCUCUCUCUCUCACUAUCUCCAUUUGUCAUUCUCUCUGUCUCAGUUCUGCAGGACAUAGUGACUGACUUAAACACUGUGAUGAAUAUUCACAGGGAUCAUUACUAAGGUCUCUCAUACUAAUGGGAGGAGAGACAGGGGCAAAAGGCUACAACACCUAGAAAGAUAUAGAACCCCCCCCCUAAUAAGGCUAUUAUCAUCCAUCACUUCAGACACAAAUGUUACCUACAAUUCAGAGU